rnacentral:rRNA from 1 species
UACGGGGGGGGGCAAGCGUUGUUCGGAAUUACUGGGCGUAAAGGGCGCGUAGGCGGUUCGCUAAGUUGAAUGUGAAAACUCUGGGCUUAACCCAGAGCCUGCAUUCAAUACUGGCGGGCUAGAGUUCUGGAGGGGAUAGCGGAAUUCCUGGUGUAGCGGUGAAAUGCGCAGAUAUCAGGAAGAACACCCGUGGCGAAGGCGGCUUUCUGGGACGGUACUGACGCUGAGACGCGAAAGCGUGGGGAGCGAACAGG